rfam:Candida maltosa Xu316 contig40_scaffold2, whole genome shotgun sequence.
GCCUGCGUGGCGAAAUGGUUAUCGCUUUUGACUUCUAAUCAAAGGAUU